UACAGAGGUCCCAAGCGUUGUUCGGAUUCACUGGGCGUAAAGGGUGCGUAGGCGGUCGGGUAAGUCUGAUGUGAAAUCUCACAGCUUAACUGUGAAACUGCAUUGGAUACUAUCCGGCUUGAGGAACGGAUGGGAGACUGGAAUACUUGGUGUAGCAGUGAAAUGCGUAGAUAUCAAGUGGAACACCAGUGGCGAAGGCGAGUCUCUGGACAUUUCCUGACGCUGAGGCACGAAAGCCAGGGGAGCAAACGGG
rnacentral:rRNA from 1 species